CAGAGUUUUCAUAUGUGAGGUAAUCUUGCUGGGAGUGAAGGCAGUGCAUAUGACCACUUGAUAUGAAAGACACAUCCUGUUUUUAAAGGUGGAUCAUGAGUGAAGCUCUGCAGGUCUGCCAUUAGCUUGAUAACAGUGGUUUAUGUGAAUUGAGUGAAUUCAAUUUAUAAAUAAAUCUUUCACCAAGCAUUCACCUAUUUACGGACAAAACAGAUCCAAAUCUUGUUCAGCCUGAUGCUCAACCUUGUAUGAUGAUGACCACAGCCAGGUGAUGAAGAUCUGUGUUAAUCACAGCCUGCGUCUCAAGAUCAACAUGACAACGGCAGACCAUCUCUUAUCUUACUCUUAUCUGACUAAAUGUUCAGCAUCAUUGCAACAAAACAAAGAACAUUAGAUGGAGUAUUGGAUGAUCCCGUAUAGAAAAUAAUAUGGACUUUUUUGGUGAGAUUCUACAAAGAUUGACACAAUCCUAUUGACUUUUAUUUUUACAGUUAAUAAUGCAUUAUAAACAUCCCAUUCAUUUGUAUUCUAUGUCAUCGAUCUGUUUGUGCUAAAAUGUAUACAUCUGAAUGUAAUGUCAAUAAUAUGUUAAUAUUCAGGAUUUAUUAUCAUUUGCAUGUUUUGAUGUUGCAUAUCAUGAUUUUAUUGAUUUCAUGUAAUUGUUGUCUAUUUAAAAUUAUUU